rnacentral:rRNA from 1 species
CGGCGAGCGAACCGGGAAGAGCUCAAAUUUGAAAUCUGGCGUCCUCCGGGCGUCCGAGUUGUAAUCUACAGAGGCGUUUUCCGCGCCGGUCCGCGUCCAAGUCCCUUGGAACAGGGUAUCGAAGAGGGUGACAAUCCCGUGCUUGACGCGACCGCCGGUGCUAUGUGAUGCGUCUUCUAAGAGUCGAGUUGUUUGGGAAUGCAGCUCAAAACGGGUGGUAAAUUCCAUCUAAGGCUAAAUAUUGGCGAGAGACCGAUAGCGAACAAGUACCGUGAGGGAAAGAUGAAAAGCACUUUGG